AGUGAACGCUGGCGGUAGGCCUAACACAUGCAAGUCGAACGGCAGCACAGUAAUAGCUUGCUCUUACGGGUGGCGAGUGGCGGACGGGUGAGGAAUACAUCGGAAUCUACUUUUUCGUGGGGGAUAACGUAGGUAAACUUACGCUAACACCGCAUACGACCUACGGGUGAAAGCAGGGGAUCUUCUGACCUUGCGCGAUUGAAUGAGCCGAUGUCGGAUUAGCUAGUUGGCGGGGUAAAGGCCCACCAAGGCGACGAUCCGUAGCUGGUCUGAGAGGAUGAUCAGCCACACUGGAACUGAGACACGGUCCAGACUCCUAAGGGAGGCAGCAGUGGGGAAUAUUGGACAAUGGGCGCAAGCCUGAUCCAGCCAUACCGCGUGGGUGAAGAAGGCCUUCGGGUUGUAAAGCCCUUUUGUUGGGAAAGAAAAGCAGCAGGUUAAUACCCAGCUGUUCUGACGGUACCCAAAGAAUAAGCACCGGCUAACUUCGUG
rnacentral:rRNA from 1 species